UACGGAGGAUCCAAGCGUUAUCCGGAUUUAUUGGGUUUAAAGGGUGCGUAGGCGGCUUUGUAAGUCAGUGGUGAAAUACGGUAGCUCAACUAUCGAGGUGCCAUUGAUACUGCGGAGCUUGAGUACAGAUGAGGUAGGCGGAAUUGACGGUGUAGCGGUGAAAUGCUUAGAUAUCGUCAAGAACACCUAUAGCGAAGGCAGCUUACUAGGCUGUAACUGACGCUGAGGCACGAAAGUGUGGGGAUCAAACAGG
rnacentral:rRNA from 1 species